rnacentral:rRNA from 1 species
CCUACGGGUGGCUGCAGUGGGGAAUAUUGGACAAUGGGGGGAACCCUGAUCCAGCCAUGCCGCGUGUGUGAAGAAGGCCCUCGGGUUGUAAAGCACUUUCAGUGAGGAAGAACGCCUGGUGGUUAAUACCCAUCAGGAAAGACAUCACUCACAGAAGAAGCACCGGCUAACUCCGUGCCAGCAGCCGCGGUAAUACGGAGGGUGCGAGCGUUAAUCGGAAUUACUGGGCGUAAAGCGCGCGUAGGUGGCUUGAUAAGCCGGUUGUGAAAGCCCCGGGCUCAACCUGGGAACGGCAUCCGGAACUGUCAAGCUAGAGUGCAGGAGGGGAAGGUAGAAUUCCCGGUGUAGCGGUGAAAUGCGUAGAGAUCGGGAGGAAUACCAGUGGCGAAGGCGGCCUUCUGGACUGACACUGACACUGAGGUGCGAAAGCGUGGGUAGCAAACAGGAUUAGAUACCCCUGUAGUC